AAGUCACUUGUGAAAUCUCCGGGCUUAACUCGGAACGGUCAAGUGAUACUGUCAGACUAGAGUGCAGAAGGGGCAAUUGGAAUUCUCGGUGUAGCGGUGAAAUGCGUAGAUAUCGAGAGGAACCACCAGAGGCGAAGGCGGAUUGCUGGGCUGACACUGACGCUGAGGCGCGAAAGCUAGGGGAGCGAACGGGAUUAGAUACCCCCGGUAGUCCUAGCCUUAAACCGAUGAAUGCUUGGUGUCUCGGGUUACAUAGUCCCCGGGGUGCCGUCGCUAACGCUUUUAGCAUUCCGCCUGGGGAGUACGCACGCAAGUGUGAAACUCAAAGAAAUUGACGGGGACCCGCACAAGCGGUGGAGCAUGUGGUUUAAUUCGACGCAACGCGAAGAACCUUACCUAGUCUAGAAUGCCUCUGACAACCUUAGAGAUAGGGCCUUUUGGGUAAAACCAAACAGAGUGCAAGGUGCUGCAUGGCUGUCGUCAGCUCGUGUCGUGAGAUGUUGGGUUAAGUCCCGCAACGAGCGCAACCCUUAUCAAUAGUUGCCAUCGGGUAAUGCCGGGAACUCUAUCGAGACUGCCGUUGACAAAACGGAGGAAGGUUGGGGAUGACGUCAAGUCCUCAUGGCCUUUAGGACCAGGGCUACACACGUGCUACAAUGGCAAGUACAAACCGUCGCAAACACCGCAAGUGGGAGCCAAUCGGAAAAAGCUUGUCUCAGUUCGGAUUGGAGUCCGCAACUCGACUCCAU
rnacentral:rRNA from 1 species